UACGGAGGAUCCAAGCGUUAUCCGGAUUCAUUGGGCUUAAAGGGUGCGUAGGCGGAAUGAUAAGUCAGUGGUGAAAUCCUUCAGCUUAACUGGAGAAUUGCCAUUGAUACUGUCAAUCUUGAGUACAUUUGAUGUGGGCGGAAUGUGUCAUGUAGCGGUGAAAUGCUUAGAUAUGACACAGAACACCGAUUGCGAAGGCAGCUCACAAAACUGUAACUGACGCUGAGGCACGAAAGCGUGGGUAUCAAACAGG
rnacentral:rRNA from 1 species